GAGCCUCUGCGGUGUGCGUGUUACGACAAAUAUUGAGAACCGACAAAGAGACUUGUUUGGGAGCUGUGUUCUUCUCCGUAAGUAGGUAGUCUCCCUUUUGAGGAGCAAACCUGAAAGCGGUCAGAAGUAGGCGCCCACUUGGAACAUAGCGGUUCCAAGAAAGUCCUAACACGGCAUCCGCGGAGGCUUC
rnacentral:other from 1 species